rnacentral:rRNA from 1 species
ACCUUUUUGAAUAUAUAAAAAGUAUUUUCUGCCCGGUGUUUAGAUUAACGGCUGCGGUACUCUGACCGUGCGAAGGUAGCAUAAUCAUUUGCCUUUUAAUUGGAGGCUGGUAUGAAUGGAAAAACAGGAAAUAAACUUUCUUUUUUUUAUUAGUUAGAAAUUUUUUUUAAAGUGAAGAAACUUUAAUUAAAAAAAAAGACGAGAAGACCCUAUCGAGUUUUAUUUUUUUUUUUAUUUAUUUUCAAAAUUUAUUUAUGAGUCUAAUAAAAAUUAAAAUUUAAUUGGGGCGAUUAAGGAAAGUUUUUAACUUCCUAAAUUUAGUGUAUUUUUUAAUUUUUUACUGAUCCUUUUUUAAAGAUUAAAAGAUUAAAUUACCGUAGGGAUAACAGCGUAAUCUUUUUGGAGAGUUCUUAUCGCUAAAAAGGGUUGCGACCUCGAUGUUGGACUAAGCUAAUCUUAAGGGGUAGCAGCUAUCAUUGAUGGGUCUGGACAACCUUAAGAAGCUU